rnacentral:rRNA from 1 species
GAGCAGCAGCAGCCGCGGGAAUACGGAGGGAGCUAGCGUUGUUCGGAAUUACUGGGCGUAAAGCGCGCGUAGGCGGUUACUCAAGUCAGAGGUGAAAGCCCGGGGCUCAACCCCGGAACUGCCUUUGAAACUAGGUGACUAGAAUCUUGGAGAGGUCAGUGGAAUUCCGAGUGUAGAGGUGAAAUUCGUAGAUAUUCGGAAGAACACCAGUGGCGAAGGCGACUGACUGGACAAGUAUUGACGCUGAGGUGCGAAAGCGUGGGGAGCAAACAGGAUUAGAUACCCCGGUAGUCCCUGUCUCUUAUAC